ACACAGUAUUAUAUAAUAACCCCCGGUAGAUAAAUAACUACAGACACAGUAUGAUAUAAUAACCCCAGGUAGAUAAAUAACUACAGACACAGUAUUAUAUAAUAACCCCCGGUAGAUAAAUAACUACAGACACAGUAUUAUACAAUAACCCCCGGUAGAUAAAUAACUACAGACACUGUAUUAUAUAAUAACCCCCGGUAGAUAAAUAACUACAGACACAGUAUUAUAUAAUAACCCCCGGUAGAUAAAUAACUACAGACACAGUAUUAUAUAAUAACCCCCGGUAGAUAAAUAACUACAGACACAGUAUUAUAUAAUAACCCCCGGUAGAUAAAUAACUACAGACACAGUAUUAUAUAAUAACCCCCGGUAGAUAAAUAACUACAGACACAGUAUUAUAUAAUAACCCCAGGUAGAUAAAUAACUACAGACACAGUAUGAUAUAAUAACCCCCGGUAGAUAAAUAACUACAGACACAGUAUUAUAUAAUAACCCCAGGUAGAUAAAUAACUACAGACACAGUAUGAUAUAAUAACCCCAGGUAGAUAAAUAACUACAGACACAGUAUUAUAUAAUAACCCCCGGUAGAUAAAUAACUACAGACACAGUAUUAUACAAUAACCCUCGGUAGAUAAAUAACUACAGACACUGUAUUAUAUAAUAACCCCCGGUAGAUAAAUAACUACAGACACAGUAUUAUAUAAUAACCCCCGGUAGAUAAAUAACUACAGACACAGUAUUAUAUAAUAACCCCCGGUAGAUAAAUAACUACAGACACUGUAUUAUAUAAUAACCCCCGGUAGAUAAAUAAUUACAGACACUGUAUUAUAUAAUAACCCCCGGUAGAUA